AUUGAACGCUGGCGGCAGGCUUAACACAUGCAAGUCGAGCGGGGUGAUGGUGCUUGCACUAUCACUUAGCGGCGGACGGGUGAGUAAUGCUUAGGAAUCUGCCUAUUAGUGGGGGACAACAUCUCGAAAGGGAUGCUAAUACCGCAUACGUCCUACGGGAGAAAGCAGGGGAUCACUUGUGACCUUGCGCUAAUAGAUGAGCCUAAGUCGGAUUAGCUAGUUGGUGGGGUAAAGGCCUACCAAGGCGACGAUCUGUAGCGGGUCUGAGAGGAUGAGCGGCCACACUGGGACUGGAACACGGCCCAGACUCCUACGGGAGGCAGCAGUGGGGAAUAUUGGACAAUGGGGGGAACCCUGAUCCAGCCAUGCCGCGUGUGUGAAGAAGGCCUUAUGGUUGUAAAGCACUUUAAGCGAGGAGGAGGCUCUUUUGGUUAAUACCCAAGAUGAGUGGACGUUACUCGCAGAAUAAGCACCGGCUAACUCUGUGCCAGCCGCCGCCGUAA
rnacentral:rRNA from 1 species